AGUGUGUGGCAACCGGAGCUUUCUAAUGGCGCCCAGGAGAGAUGCCCAGAAAGCCUUUCCGAGACAGGGUUGGGCUCGGGGAAGAUACUUCUCCCCUCAAUGGCCCACACAUUCCACGGUCUCUGUGUAAAGGCUGCAAGUUUCGGGGGUUAGCCUGAAUCAGGAAGAGAUGGGUUCAAAUACAGCUUCCAAUGCCUACUAGCUAUAUGACCCCAGCAGAAAGCCUACAGCCUGGGAAAUGGGAAGAGAGCUGAGUUCCAACUCAGAAGACCUGGAUUUGAAUCCCAACUGUCCAUGUAACCUUGGUCUGUCGUGUCCUCCCAUCUCCGGGCCUCAGUUUCCCCAUAUGUCAAAUGAGAGGAUUGGACCAGAUGGGCUCUGAGGUAGCCCCUGACAAAAGCAUCUUGCAGACAGACAAUCAAUAUUUGCUGGAGAGAAAUAGUAAGACUCCUGCUUCUCUGCAGAGGUGGGGGAGGGGCAAACUGAACAUGGAAUGCAAACGAUAGCGGCAGACCUUUUUCCAAUAUGCUGGUUGGAUUUGUUAAACUUUUUUUUUUCCUCUCACUUUUCUUAUUUUAAGGGGUGGCCUUCUGGGACAAGACGGAUACACUGGGAAAUAAAAAGGGAUAUAAAAUCAAAAGGUAGCAAUAAACAAUUUUAAAGGGGGAAGGGGAAGAACUCUUAGGACUAUAUAUUUCAGACUGGCAGGGACCUUGGAUUGGAGGUCAUGUAGUCUAACUCUGUGUCACAGAUAAGAAAACAAAGGUUCCAGCCAAGCAGGUUGCCUGAGGUCAGACAGGUAGCAGAUGAAAGAAAGCCUGGGGUUGGAACCCAGGCUCUGUGAUUUCAGCUUCAGUGCUCUUCACCCCGACCCCUUUAAAAACAGUCAAGACAC